GGGCGCAAGCCUGAUGCAGCGACGCCGCGUGGGGGAUGAAGGCCUUCGGGUUGUAAACUUCUUUUGCUCUGAACAAGGCGCACCAUGGGGUGUGUUGAGUGUAGGGGUUGAUUAGCGCCGGCUAACUACGUGCCAGCAGCCGCGGUAAUACGUAGGGCGCGAGCGUUGUCCGGAAUUAUUGGGCGUAAAGGGCUUGUAGGUGGCUGGUUGCGUCUGUCGUGAAAGCUCAUGGCUUAACUGUGGGUUUGCGGUGGGUACGGGCUGGCUUGAGUGCAGUAGGGGAGGCUGGAAUUCCUGGUGUAGCGGUGGAAUGCGCAGAUAUCAGGAGGAAUACC
rnacentral:rRNA from 1 species